UCCCAGGGCCUGAUUGGUUCAGUACCAAGUGAAGUCAUAGUUACUGUGGUGACUCACAAUUGCCCUCAGAACCUAGUGCAGAUUCAAACACUGGCCAUCAUCCCUGGCUUUCUUCUGGUUCAAGCCUGAAUAAGGUCUCUCUUCUGUGCUAUCUUCCUGAAGCCAUCUGUGGAGUCAAGCAGUCAUGGCUCAGGCACAUUCUGAAGUUGGUCCCAGCACAUCUGCACAGAGCAUCAGGAGAAAGGCGGACGAAUACUUGAGACCCAGCCUGGCCUCUAAAUCUGUGCUGAGCGUUUUACUCAGUAGACAGCUUGGGAAUCAUAGAAACGAUGUGGAUCUGACAGAGUGGCUGUGGACACUGACACAAACCACACCAGGGUGGACCUGGCCUUUGCCAACACGCCAUACAAUCAACCCACCUUUGCACCCUGGGGAGGAUGGAAAAUCCAAGAAAAUGGUGUGGAUCAAUAAAUCCUUCCCCUGAUGCAACCAUUACAAAUGGAUGUUGUGUUCUCGCUGCUUUUGGCUGUAUAUGGUCUUUGAUCACCUAGUUUCUUGACUUCUGACCAGUCUCUGUGUUACCCGAGGCCACAGCAGAUGAACUUUACCUACUGCCCCCUGAGAAGGUGUUUACUAACGUUGUAGACUCUGGGGGUGUUGGAGCCACGAGGGGCCCUGUUUCGAGAAGGUGGAAGGGCAGCUGAGUGGACACGUGGAGAGGCCCUGCAACCCUAAAUUUCUAGGGGGAGGGGCCUUUAAGGAGCCCGCUUGGAAGUCUUGGUUUGUCUCCCUUGAAGUUUGGGGGAGAGCGUGGGUAAAAAUUGAAAUCAAAUAAAUUUAAAAUG